UCUCCUCUUCAAUUCUGAUUCUCCUUCCUCUCCCUCCUGACCUCUCGCUCACUCUCUCUCUCUAAAUCAACUUCAUCUUCCGUCUAGAUCUCUCUUUUUGUCCCUCUGUUUAAAUGGUCUCGACAGCAGACUGCAGUUCUUUCUCUUAACCCAUUUUCGGCCCUCCAUUUUUUAUCUUGAGGAGUUAAGAAUCAAGAUCAUGGAGCUUCUUAUGUUAAACAUGGUUUUCGGAGGCAACUGGAAAUGCAACUGUUGGGUUCGCAAAGGUGGUGCUUUUACUGGAGAUGUUAGGGGGCUGAAUUGAUGAGCAAAUAUGGGAUCGAUGUUCCAAAAGGCGUUGCAGUUUUUUCUGGUGAUUAUGUGAAAAAGGCAAUUCGGGAUGUAUUUCCCAAUCAAAGUGAGUUGGUGGUCAAAAGCCAAAUUUUGGCUGGUGGGAGAGGCUUGGGAACAUUCAAAAGUGGUCUCAAGGGUGGAGUUCAUAUUGUUAAGGCUGAUCAGGUUGAAGAGAUAGACGCUUCCAUUUCAAUGCAUGGAAAAUAUUCACAAAUUCAAUAGCUGGCACACAUACAAAAGGAAAAAAAUAAGAGGAAAUGGGACUGUUGUUUUUUCAAAUUGUAACUUAUUAUAAUGUUUUAUUAUUAUAAUGUAUAAGAAAAGACAAUACUAUCCCUGCCUAGACUCAACUUAUAUAAUUUGGCACUGUUUUUCUUCAAAA